rnacentral:misc_RNA from 1 species
GAUGAAGAACGUAGCGAAAUGCGAUAAGUAAUGUGAAUUGCAGAAUUCAGUGAAUCAUCGAAUCUUUGAACGCACAUUGCGCCCGCCAGUAUUCUGGCGGGCAUGCCUGUCUGAGCGUCAUUUCAACCCUCAUGCCCCUAGGGCGUGGUGUUGGGGAUCGGCCAAAGCCCGCGAGGGACGGCCGGCCCCUAAAUCUAGUGGCGGACCCGUCGUGGCCUCCUCUGCGAAGUAGUGAUAUUCCGCAUCGGAGAGCGAUGAGCCCCUGCCGUUAAACCCCCAACUUUCCAAGGUUGACCUCAGAUCAGGUAGGAAUACCCGCUGAACUUAAGCAUAUCAAUAAGGGAGGA